AUGCCCGACUCCACCACAUAAAGUUCUGACAUAAUACAAAAUAUUUGCAGAAACAACAGUAUAACACACCUGUAAAGGGCAAUAGAACAAAGGAGGAGUGUUAUAACCUUGAACUGUUCUUUAGUCCUUGACCACCUUGGGAACUUCCAGUCAUCACCUUGCUUUGAGAGCCUUUGGCUUAAACUAUACUGGACUUCCUACUUUCAUCUCCAAGGUCCUUCUCUGAACUGGUGGUUGAAGUGAGAAUAAACAGGAGGGGGCCCAUGUGAGAAAUAUUUAGGAGGUAAAAGGAAUGUGUUAGGAGACGGUCAGGAGACAGUGUGGUGAGAGGAAGUGAUUGAAGAUGAUGCCCAAGAUGGUGGACGGACUGAGGACAUCAAUGAUGGAGACAUCUCCUGAGACAAGGAAAAUAAGAGGAAGAUCCUGCUUGUUGUUUAACACCAGGAAAGAAUCACAGAUGCCUGCACUCACUAACCAAGGCAUCCUCCAGAGGUGUGAAUGGAAGACAUUAGCACAGAACCUGGAGAGUUCUGCCUAAGAGAAAGAGAACUGAGUCAGCAGCAAGCGAGAUUAUUUGCCAGAAGAACUCUAAUAGAUUUAAAGCCCUGUAGUGGGUUACUGAAGAAAUCCAAUAUUCUGCUUCAGUAUGAUAGUAACUAAGUAUUGCUAGGUUGCGUGACAGCAAUGGUAAUGACAGAUAUAAUGAGAGGG
rnacentral:lncRNA from 1 species